rnacentral:rRNA from 1 species
GACGAACGCUUGCGGCGUGCUUAACACAUGCAAGUCGAACGGAAAGGCCCUGCUUUUGUGGGGUGCUCGAGUGGCGAACGGGUGAGUAACACGUGAGUAACCUGCCCUUGACUUUGGGAUAACUUCAGGAAACUGGGGCUAAUACCGGAUAGGAGCUCCUGCUGCAUGGUGGGGGUUGGAAAGUUUCGGCGGUUGGGGAUGGACUCGCGGCUUAUCAGCUUGUUGGUGGGGUAGUGGCUUACCAAGGCUUUGACGGGUAGCCGGCCUGAGAGGGUGACCGGCCACAUUGGGACUGAGAUACGGCCCAGACUCCUACGGGAGGCAGCAGUGGGGAAUAUUGCACAAUGGGCGGAAGCCUGAUGCAGCAACGCCGCGUGCGGGAUGACGGCCUUCGGGUUGUAAACCGCUUUCGCCUGUGACGAAGCGUGAGUGACGGUAAUGGGUAAAGAAGCACCGGCUAACUACGUGCCAGCAGCCGCGGUGAUACGUAGGGUGCGAGCGUUGUCCGGAUUUAUUGGGCGUAAAGGGCUCGUAGGUGGUUGAUCGCGUCGGAAGUGUAAUCUUGGGGCUUAACCCUGAGCGUGCUUUCGAUACGGGUUGACUUGAGGAAGGUAGGGGAGAAUGGGAUUCCUGGUGGAGCGGUGGAAUGCGCAGAUAUCAGGAGGAACACCAGUGGCGAAGGCGGUUCUCUGGGCCUUUCCUGACGCUGAGGAGCGAAAGCGUGGGGAGCGAACAGGCUUAGAUACCCUGGUAGUCCACGCUGUAAACGGUGGGUACUAGGUGUGGGGUCCAUUCCACGGGUUCCGUGCCGUAGCUAACGCUUUAAGUACCCCGCCUGGGGAGUACGGCCGCAAGGCUAAAACUCAAAGGAAUUGACGGGGCCCCGCACAAGCGGCGGAGCAUGCGGAUUAAUUCGAUGCAACGCGUAGAACCUUACCUGGGUUUGACAUGGAUCGGGAGUGCUCAGAGAUGGGUGUGCCUCUUUUGGGGUCGGUUCACAGGUGGUGCAUGGCUGUCGUCAGCUCGUGUCGUGAGAUGUUGGGUUAAGUCCCGCAACGAGCGCAACCCUUGUUCACUGUUGCCAGCACGUUAUGGUGGGGACUCAGUGGAGACCGCCGGGGUCAACUCGGAGGAAGGUGGGGAUGACGUCAAGUCAUCAUGCCCCUUAUGUCCAGGGCUUCACGCAUGCUACAAUGGCUGGUACAGAGAGUGGCGAGCCUGUGAGGGUGAGCGAAUCUCGGAAAGCCGGUCUCAGUUCGGAUUGGGGUCUGCAACUCGACCUCAUGAAGUCGGAGUCGCUAGUAAUCGCAGAUCAGCAACGCUGCGGUGAAUACGUUCCCGGG